rnacentral:rRNA from 1 species
UACGAAGGGGGCUAGCGUUGCUCGGAAUCACUGGGCGUAAAGCGCACGUAGGCGGAUCUUUAAGUCAGGGGUGAAAUCCUGGAGCUCAACUCCAGAACUGCCUUUGAUACAGCACGUCUUGAGUCCGAUAGAGGUGGGUGGAAUUCCUAGUGUAGAGGUGAAAUUCGUAGAUAUUAGGAAGAACACCGGUGGCGAAGGCGGCCCACUGGAUCGGUACUGACGCUGAGGUGCGAAAGCGUGGGGAGCAAACAGG